GACGAACGCUGGCGGCGUGCUUAACACAUGCAAGUCGAGCGGACAGACGAUGAUCUUGUGGGGCGGUCGUGUGCCGCGCGGGUGAGUAAAACGCGAGUAUAACCCCCUUGUCAUUGGGAUAACUCCUCGAGACUGGGGCUAAUACAGGAUAGGAGAUAUUGCUGCACGGGGGGGGAUGGAAAGUUUCGGCGGUUGUGGCUGGACUGGCGGCUUAUCAGCUUGUUGGUGGGGUAGUGGCUGACCAGGGGUGCGAGGGAUAGCCCGCCUGGGAGGGUGACCGGGCACAUUGGUACUGAGGUACGGCCCAGAAGGCUACGGGAGGCAGCAGGCGGGAGCAUGGCGCAGUGGGCGCAAGCCUGAUGCAGCAAUCCCGCGUGCGGGAUGCCGGCUUUCGGGUGGAAAACCGCUUUCGCCGGUGAUGAGCCGGGAUUGACGGUAAUGGGUAAAGAAGCACCGGCUAACUACGUG
rnacentral:rRNA from 1 species